rnacentral:rRNA from 1 species
GCAAGUCGAACGCUUUGUCUUUAACUGAUCUGACGAGCUUGCUCUGAUGUGAUUUUAUCUGACAAAGAGUGGCGAACGGGUGAGUAACACGUGGGUAACCUACCUCUUAGCAGGGGAUAACAUUUGGAAACAAGUGCUAAUACCGUAUAAUACCAACAACCGCAUGGUUGUUGGUUGAAAGAUGGUUCUGCUAUCACUAAGAGAUGGACCCGCGGUGCAUUAGCUAGUUGGUAAGGUAACGGCUUACCAAGGCAAUGAUGCAUAGCCGAGUUGAGAGACUGAUCGGCCACAAUGGGACUGAGACACGGCCCAUACUCCUACGGGAGGCAGCAGUAGGGAAUCUUCCACAAUGGGCGCAAGCCUGAUGGAGCAACGCCGCGUGUGUGAUGAAGGGUUUCGGCUCGUAAAACACUGUUAUAAGAGAAGAACGGCACUGAGAGUAACUGUUCAGUGUGUGACGGUAUCUUACCAGAAAGGAACGGCUAAAUACGUGCCAGCAGCCGCGGUAAUACGUAUGUUCCAAGCGUUAUCCGGAUUUAUU